AUAAGAAAGGGUUGUGCACAUCCACUUGCUGAGUAUAUCUACGAGCACUACCUAUAUGAUCUUGGAGUUAGGUUGAAACAUAAUGUUCAAUCGCAGACGGUGGAGAUAGUUAUAUGUCAAGAGAAGACUCACCAUUGGAAGGAACAUGAUAGUAAUCUUCUCUUUUUUCUUUGGGGUCUAUUGGAUCAACCAAGGAUAAUUCUCUGGACAUAUGAUAUCUAUCAUAACUUAGAUUCAUG
rnacentral:lncRNA from 1 species